rnacentral:rRNA from 1 species
CUUGGUCAUUUAGAGGAAGUAAAAGUCGUAACAAGGUCUCCGUAGGUGAACCUGCGGAGGGAUCAUCAUAGGAAAAACAUAUUUCAUAUGUGUGUGUGUGUGUGUGUGAGGGGGGGGGGAAAGAGGAGAUUUGGCUUGGCUUGGUUAGGAGUUGUGUUUGGUGUGUAUUCGCGCCAUUCUCAUACUCUGCACCUUUUCUUGCUUGCUUGCUUGCUUUCUCUCCUUUACACAUGCGCAUAUAUAUAUAUCAAACAAACGAUCGCAACUAUGUGAUAUUUUAGCAAACUGUGGAGAUAUGGGGAUGAGGAGGAAAAAGAUUGACCUGCUUCUUUUUCUCUCUCUCUCUCUCUCGCGCUCUAUCUGAAAAAAGUGCUUGCCUGAUACUGAAGAAUGUGUCAAUGCCGCCGCCAUUGAGCAAUCGAUGGUGUGUGUUGAUAUAUGAAUUGGAACAAGAAAUACAACUUUCAACAACGGAUCUCUUGGCUCUCACAUCGAUGAAGAACAUAGCAAAGUGUGAAAAUUAAUGUGAAUUGCAGAAUUCAGUGAAUCAUUGAGUUUUUGAACGCAUCUUGCACUUUUUGGUUAUUCCAAAGAGUAUGCCUGGUUGAGCAAUGUGAAUAUAUCUUAUCAGAGUCAUAUGCAAUGGCUUUGGAGUUGAGUGGUGUUUUACCUUGUUGUUGGAGUCUUUUUCUCAAAGUCUGAGAAAUUGGACAGCGAGAGGAGGAGGACGACUAUAAUAUAAAAGGUUCACUUGAAAUGAAGGGAAAUCAGUAAAACACAGACAAGGAGCUUCUUGGCUUGUGNAAAAGACAGGCAGAUUGAUUUGGAAAGAGAAUGGCUUGUUUUAACAACAAUGACUUGAUUAGUUGGUUUUGUGUCUUGGUGUUGGUUGAUUUGAAUCGCAUAAAAAGUCUUGUUUAGAGCUGUUUCUGCUGCUGCUGCUUGCUUUCUUUCUUUUUCUCUGGCAAAACAAGUUGCUAUCCAAACCUUGGCUUUUUUUGUUUUCUUUCCCACAACUAGGAAUGUUGUAGGCACAUACAUGUAUGUAUGUACCCACACCAAACCAUCAUUCUCAACUCAGGCAAGACUACCCGCUGAAUUUAAGCAUAUCAAUAAGCGGAGGA